GAUAAUUAAAACAAUUCAAAGCAAUUAAAGCAAUCUGAACAAAUAUUAAUGAUUAAGACAUUGUAUCAUCACACCCCCCUGCUUUUCAACCUAUAAUUUAAGAUCAAAAGCCUUAAUAUUUUAUAUAUCUAUGUAUACUUAAAUUCUUCCUACUAUGGAGAUUAAUAUCUCUGUGUACAUAUUGUAGUAUUCCCAAUUCUGUUUAUUUAAUUCUCAAGGCCUAAGCUUCUACUGUCUGAGAUAGGUUAGGUUUCCUAUCUCCUGCUUUCUAUCUAAUAUAUAUAUAUAUAUAUAUAUAUAUAUAUAAGAUUGAAUGCCUCAAUCUUUAUAGAUCUCUGUAUUUAACUUUAAUUAAAUUCCCUUCUACUGAAAAUACCCAAGGAGCUGAAGGGAUCUGUAACCCUAUGGGUGGAACAACGUUAUGAACUAACCAGUAUCCCGGAGCUCUUGACUCUAGCUGCAUGUGUAUCAAAAGAUGGCUUAGUCGGCCAUCACUGGAAAGAGAGGCCCAUUGGACUUGUAAAGUUUAUAUGCCCCAGUACAGGGGGGAACGCCAGGGCCAAAACGUGGGAGUGGGUGGGUAGGGGAGUGGGGGGAAGGGUAUGGGGGACUUUUGGAAUAGCAUUGGAAAUGUAAAUGAGGAAAAUACCUAAUUAAAAAAAAAUCCCUUCUACUUACUUUGUAAGCCUAUUUACAGGCUGUAAUUUUUGUCAUGCCAGGGUGAUAAUCCUAGAAAUCCCAUGUAGACCACACUUAAAGAUCCUGAUAAUUUGCCCUGGUACGACAUUUAAAUUUCUUUAAAGCAUUUGUUCAUUCAUUCUCCCUAUCUUCUACCUAGCUUAAUAUCUGCUGCACCUACCAUCUGGCUUUCUGCCGCUCAUUUUCUUCCUUCUACUAGCCACACUGGCUCUUAGCACAGCAGAAGCUCCAAGCUACUUAGCUUAAGCUCUUUGUAUCAGUUUUGAAUAAAUCCCCAUGUGGUUCAGGCAAAAUCUGUAUAUUCCCUUCUAUCCUUAAAAACAGUCAAAUCUGACUUAUAAAUCUCUAUCCUUUAUUUAUCUGGUGGCUGGAGUCAGGCGUCUUUAUUCUCUGCUUCUUACUGUAUUCUUUCUAUCAGGCCGCCCUGGGUAAAUUCUUGCACCUCUAAAUCUGUUUUCUCUCUCUCUCUCUCUCUCUCUCUCUCUCUCUCUCUCUCUCUCUCUCUCUCUCUCUCUCCUUUUCUGGGUCAUUGUGAUCCCUCUUUUUUCCUCCUGCAUUUUAGCCCAUGCAACUCUAAGAGUCUCACCCUGUCUCCCUUUGCCCAGCCAUUGGCUGUAUUGCAAUUCUUUGUUGCCAAUCAAAUUCAGCUGGGUGUAGGCUUCCUUUAGAUUGCAUGCAGGACACUACACACAGUCUUUUUGAGUAACAUAAUUAGCAAGAGAACACCAGCUGCUACAACCUUACACCUAUCAGAAUGGCUAAGAUCAAAAACUCAAGGAACAGUACAUGCUGGUGAAGAUGUGGAGAGUGGUGAACACUUCUCCAUUUCUAGUAGGAGUGCAAACUUGUACAUCCACUCUGAAAAUCAAUUCGGUAAUUUAUCAGAAAACUGAGAAUAGUUUUACCUCAAGUCCCAGAUAUACUACUCCUGGGCAUAUACCUAAGGCAUAUACCCACCAUACCACAAGGACACUUGCUUAACUAUGUUCAUACAACUUUAUUCAUAAUAUCCAGAUUAUGGGAAGAACAUAAAUAUCUCUCAUCUUAAGAAUGGAAAAAGAAAAUCUGAUACAUCUACACAACUGAAUACUAUUCCCUUAAAGACUUCUACAAGAGGAGGUUGUAGAGACUGAAAUGGCCAACUUCUGUAGCCAGGAAGCACUUCUAGAGGAGGGAGGGAGACAUCAAUCCACCUGUAAACCCUUCAACUAAAAAUUUGUCUUGCCUACAAGAUAUGCAGGGAUUAAAAACAGAUCAGAGACUGAGGGAGCAUCCAUUAAUCUUGAUCUGUACCCAUCACAUGUGGGAGACAACCUCUGACACUAUUAAUGCUGCUCUGCUGUGCUUGCAGACAGAAACCUAGCAUAACUGUAUCUCAAGGGGGUUUCUCCAGCAGUAGAUGGGGGCAGAUGCAAACAUCUGCUCCAUCAGUCAAACAUCAGGAGAAACCUGGGGAGUUUUGUGGAAGAGUGUGGGGAUAGAAGUAAGCAAGUUAGAGGGGUCAGGGACACCACAAGAAGACUGACAGCAUCAACUUAUCUUGGGCCAUCAGAGAGCAAAUGUGCAGCUUGGUCUUUAUGUGGGUCCCCUAACAAGAAGAUCAGGGGCUGUUUUGGUCUUUGUUCCUUGACAUUGGGUCCCUUCCUCUCAACUUGGACUGCCUCGUUGGGCAUCUAUGGGAGAGAACGUGUCUAGUCCUGCUGAGAAUAUAAGCCCCAGGGUGGACUGAUACCCAAAGGGGUCUUCCCUUUUCUGAGGAAAUGGGGAGGGGGAAAUGUGGGGAGGUCUUUGUAAGGGUGGUUCUGGGAAGAGAGGAGGGAGGAUCUCUUUGAUGCUGAUGUCAAGUGAAUAAGGUACAAAAAUUCAAAAUCAAAUAAGCUACUUAAACAGAACUAUAACCCCCUGUCAAACAGAAACAGC
rnacentral:lncRNA from 1 species